UACGUAGGUGGCAAGCGUUGUUCGGAAUUAUUGGGCGUAAAGGGCGCGUAGGCGGUUUGCUAAGUCAGUUGUGAAAGCCCGGGGCUCAACCCCGGAGGGUCGGCUGAUACUGGAUGGCUUGAGUUUGGGAGAGGGAUGCGGAAUUCCAGGUGUAGCGGUGAAAUGCGUAGAUAUCUGGAGGAACACCGGUGGCGAAGGCGGCAUCCUGGACCAACACUGACACUGAGGAGCGAAAGCCAGGGGAGCAAACGGG
rnacentral:rRNA from 1 species